UGCUUUCUCAGUGUUCUCUAUCACACCUGGUCUUUUUGUCCAUCUUCAAAUACUUUCGAGAAAAGAAAACACAGAAACCAUGAAUACAUUAGUCGUAGUUAUUUUGUUUGCUGUGAUGGCUACUUUGGCCACUGCUCGCGGUUAUGAUACAUACAAUAGAAAUCAAAGAUCAUGGGAUUUGCUCGGAUCUAGAGGUCUGAAUAAUGGAUGGAAUAGUAGAAAUCUGAAUAAUGGAUGGAAUAGUGGUUGGAAUGGCGGACAUCUGACAGGGGGAUUAAAUGGCGGAUAUCGAAGACACAAAAGAGCAGCUACUGGAUACGGCUCAUAUGAUCCAUACAGAAGCAGUCAUUUUGACAGUGGAUUAGGACGGUUGGACAGAUGGGGAACAAAUUCAGGAAGGAGAUCUAAUUUAGGAUGGAGAUCUAAUUCAAGAUGGAAGCAGCUACUGGAUACGGCUCAUAUGAUCCAUACAGAAGCAGUCAUUUUGACAGUGGAUUAGGACGGUUGGACAGAUGGGGAACAAAUUCAGGAAGGAGAUCUAAUUUAGGAUGGAGAUCUAAUUCAAGAUGGAGUCAGCUAGGAUAUUGAGAAAGACGAGGACACAAGGAUUACAUUACAACAUCUAAACAUGACAUCGACCAUCCGUAGAUUUUUACUUUUUCAAAUAAAAUUUGUAAAAUUGA